UAGGGAAUCUUCGGCAAUGGACGAAAGUCUGACCGAGCAACGCCGCGUGAGUGAAGAAGGUUUUCGGAUCGUAAAACUCUGUUGUUAGAGAAGAACAAGGACGUUAGUAACUGAACGUCCCCUGACGGUAUCUAACCAGAAAGCCACGGCUAACUACGUGCCAGCAGCCGCGGUAAUACGUAGGUGGCAAGCGUUGUCCGGAUUUAUUGGGCGUAAAGCGAGCGCAGGCGGUUUCUUAAGUCUGAUGUGAAAGCCCCCGGCUCAACCGGGGGGGGUCAUUGGAAACUGGGAGACUUGAGUGCAGAAGAGGAAAGUGGAAUUCCAUGUGUAGCGGUGGAAUGCGUAGAUAUAUGGAGGAACACCAGUGGCGAAGGCGGCUCUCUGGUCUGUAACUGACGCUGAGGUUCGAAAGCGUGGGGAGCAAACAGG
rnacentral:rRNA from 1 species